UACAGAGGGGGCGAGCGUUAAUCGGAAUCACUGGGCGUAAAGCGCGCGUAGACGGUCAUGUAAGUCGGGUGUGAAGGCCCCGGGCUCAACCUGGGAAUUGCAUUCGAGACUGUGUGGCUAGGGUGCGGAAGAGGGAAGCGGAAUUUCCGGUGUAGCGGUGAAAUGCGUAGAUAUCGGAAGGAACACCAGUGGCGAAGGCGGCUUCCUGGUCCAGCACCGACGUUCAGGCGCGAAAGCGUGGGGAGCAAACAGG
rnacentral:rRNA from 1 species